rnacentral:lncRNA from 1 species
CAAAUCCAGACUGAGGAAAAGGAGAGAAAUAAUAGAUGGGCAGAAAUUAUUAAAGCUGAAACCACAAAAAUAGGAAAAAUGUAUACAAAACAGAAAAAAAGAAAGAAGACCAGGGAUGAUCAGGACUGAAACAGGGGCCAACACUACAGACCUCACCAACGUGAAAAAACCUGUGGGCGGACCUGCAAAUGCCCUCACACAGUGGUGACAAUCAGGUGAAUAGACCACUUCCUGGGAAGUCACAAGCCCCCAGCACAGACAACCCACAGGGACAGAAGACCACAAACCAUGCUGUGGUGGAUGAGGCCCUUGCCUUCCCAUCCACUGCUUUAGGAGGCCAGUGUCCUGGUGGAACAGCUUUAGGGACAGAUUCUCUGACCUGUGUGUGUGUGUGUGUGUGUGAGAGAGAGAGAGAGUAUGAGUAUGAAAGUGAGUGUGAGUGUGAGUGUGUGUGAGUAUGAGAGUGAGUGUGUGUGUGUUUGUGUGUGUGUGAGUGUGAGAGUGAGUGUGUGUUGUGAGAGAGUGUGUGUGUGAAUGUGUGUGAGAGUGUGAGUGAAAGUAUGAAAGUGAGUGUGAGUAUGUGAGUGUGAGAGUAUUGUGUGUGAGUGUGUAUGAGUGUGUGAGUGUGAGUGUGAGACAGUGUGUGUGGUUCUCUCACUGGGAGUUUUACACAGUCAUUUUGGGUGUUCUUCUCCUUCAGGAGAUGUAAUCAACUGAUUUCCCUCAUUAAACUGGUGACCUCAUGCAAUCAGCUGACUGAUGUU